AUUGAACGCUGGCGGCAGGCCUAACACAUGCAAGUCGAGCGGAGCGGCGGACGGGUGAGUAAUGCCUAGGAAUCUGCCUGGUAGUGGGGGAUAACGUCCGGAAACGGGCGCUCAUACCGCAUACUAUCAGAUGAGCCUAGGUCGGUUUAGCUAGUUGGUGGGGUAAAGGCCUACCCAGGCGACGAUCCGUAACGGGUCCGAGAGGAUGAUCAGUCACACUGGAACUGAGACAGGGUCCAGACUCCUACGGGAGGCAGCAGUGGGGAAUAUUGGACAAUGGGCGAAAGCCUGAGCCAGACAGGCCGCGUGGUGAAAGAAGGUCUUCGGAUUGUAAAGCACUUUAAGUUGGGAGGCGUUACCAACAGAAUAAGCACCGGCUAACUCCGUGCCAGCCGCCGCGGUAAUAC
rnacentral:rRNA from 1 species